CACGUAGGGUGCGAGCGUUGUCCGGAAUUAUUGGGCGUAAAGAGCUCGUAGGCGGUUUGUCGCGUCUGGUGUGAAAACUCAAGGCUCAACCUUGAGCUUGCAUCGGGUACAGGCAGACUAGAGUGUGGUAGGGGUGACUGGAAUUCCUGGUGUAGCGGUGGAAUGCGCAGAUAUCAGGAGGAACACCGAUGGCGAAGGCAGGUCACUGGGCAGUUACUGACACUGAGGCACGAAGGCCAGGGGAGCAAACGGG
rnacentral:rRNA from 1 species